AUAAAGUUAAAACUUUCAACAACGGAUCUCUUGGCUCUCGCACCGAUGAAGAGCGCAGCGAAAUGCGAUAACUAAUGUGAAUUGCAGGCAUCGUGAAUCAUCGAGUUCUUGAACGCACAUUGCGCCCUGUGGUAUUCCGCAGGGCAUGCCUGUUUGAGCGUCGGUUC
rnacentral:rRNA from 1 species